rnacentral:rRNA from 1 species
UACGAAGGGGGCUAGCGUUGUUCGGAAUUACUGGGCGUAAAGCGCACGUAGGCGGUGUUCCAUGUCAGAGGUGAAAGCCUGGGGCUCAACUCCAGAAUUGCCUUUGAAACGGGGACGCUUGAGUCCGAGAGAGGAUGGCGGAAUUCCUAGUGUAGAGGUGAAAUUCGUAGAUAUUAGGAAGAACACCGGUGGCGAAGGCGGCCAUCUGGCUCGGUACUGACGCUCAGGUGCGAAAGCGUGGGGAGCAAACAGG